rnacentral:rRNA from 1 species
AUUUCUAGACUUAACUAUGCGGUUCUCUCCCUCAUCCCUAAGGUCAAGGGUGCGGAUAUGAUUUCUCAAUUUAGGCCGAUUGCUUUAAUCAACAACUUCGCAAAGAUGCCUGCAAAGGGCAUGGCCACUAGGCUAUCUCCCAUUGCACAUCGGACCAUUAGCCCUUUCCAGUCUACUUUCAUCAAAGGGAGGUUGAUUUUGGACGGGGUACUUUGUUUACAUGAGAUUGUUCAUGAUUUACGGGUGCGAGGGACCAAGGCUGUGGUUCUCAAACUUGACUUUGAAAAGGCCUACGACUCGGUUAGCUGGAAAUUCCUUCGGCAAGUUCUU